rnacentral:rRNA from 1 species
CGACCGGCGCACGGGUGCGUAACGCGUAUGUAACCUACCUUUUACUGGGGGAUAGCCCGGAGAAAUUCGGAUUAACACCGCAUAAUAAGUUUGAGUGGCAUCACUUGGAUUUUAAAUAUUUAUAGGUAAGAGAUGGGCAUGCGUCCAAUUAGCUAGUUGGUGAGGUAACGGCUCACCAAGGCGAUGAUUGGUAGGGGUUCUGAGAGGAAGGUCCCCCACACUGGUACUGAGAUACGGACCAG